rnacentral:rRNA from 1 species
UACGGGGGGGGCAAGCGUUGUUCGGAAUUACUGGGCGUAAAGGGCUCGUCGGCGGCCAACUAAGUCAGACGUGAAAUCCCUCGGCUUAACCGGGGAACUGCAUCUGAUACUGGAUGGCUUGAGGUUGGGAGAGGGAUGCGGAAUUCCAGGUGUAGCGGUGAAAUGCGUAGAUAUCUGGAGGAACACCGGUGGCGAAGGCGGCAUCCUGGACCAAUUCUGACACUGAGGAGCGAAAGCCAGGGGAGCAAACGGG